AUGCAAGUCGAACGAUGAACUGGUGCUUGCACUGGGGAUUAGUGGCGAACGGGUGAGUAACACGUGAGUAACCUGCCCUUAACUCUGGGAUAAGCCUUGGAAACGAGGUCUAAUACUGGAUAUUGACUUUUCCUCGCAUGGGGAUUGGUUGAAAGAUUUAUUGGUUUUGGAUGGACUCGCGGCCUAUCAGCUUGUUGGUGAGGUAAUGGCUCACCAAGGCGACGACGGGUAGCCGGCCUGAGAGGGUGACCGGCCACACUGGGACUGAGACACGGCCCAGACUCCUACGGGAGGCAGCAGUGGGGAAUAUUGCACAAUGGGCGAAAGCCUGAUGCAGCGACGCCGCGUGAGGGAUGACGGCCUUCGGGUUGUAAACCUCUUUCAGUAGGGAACAAGGCCAGACGUUGUCUGGUUGAGGGUACUUGCAGAAGAAGCGCCGGCUAACUACGUGCCAGCAGCCGCGGUAAUACGUAGGGCGCAAGCGUUAUCCGGAAUUAUUGGGCGUAAAGAGCUCGUAGGCGGUUUGUCGCGUCUGCCGUGAAAGUCCGGGGCUCAACUCCGGAUCUGCGGUGGGUACGGGCAGACUAGAGUGAUGUAGGGGAGACUGGAAUUCCUGGUGUAGCGGUGAAAUGCGCAGAUAUCAGGAGGAACACCGAUGGCGAAGGCAGGUCUCUGGGCAUUAACUGACGCUGAGGAGCGAAAGCAUGGGGAGCGAACAGGAUUAGAUACCCUGGUAGUCC
rnacentral:rRNA from 1 species